CACGUAGGGGGCAAGCGUUGUCCGGAUUUAUUGGGCGUAAAGAGCUCGUAGGCGGCUUAGUAAGUCGGGUGUGAAACCUCCAAGCUCAACCUGGAGACGCCACCCGAUACUGCUGUGGCUAGAGUCCGGUAGGGGAGCGUGGAAUUCCUGGUGUAGCGGUGAAAUGCGCAGAUAUCAGGAGGAACACCAGCGGCGAAGGCGGCGCUCUGGGCCGGUACUGACGCUGAGGAGCGAAAGCGUGGGGAGCAAACAGG
rnacentral:rRNA from 1 species